GGUAUAGUGGCUUGAGCACUGGAUUAUGACUCCAGAGAACAGGGUUCAAAUCUCUGCUUGGCCA